AACGCACCUUGCGCUCCUUGGUAUUCCGAGGAGCAUGCCUGUUUGAGUGUCAUGAAAUCUUCAACCUACAAGCUUUUUUGUGGUUUGUAGGCUUGGACUUGGAGGCUUGUCGGCCUUUAUUGGUCGGCUCCUCUUAAAUGCAUUAGCUUGGUUCCUUGCGGAUCGGCUGUCGGUGUGAUAAUGUCUACUCCGCGACCGUGAAGCGUAUGGCAAGCUUCCAACCGUCUCGCUAUAGAGACAGCUUUUUAUGACCUCUGACCUCAAAUCAGGUAGGACUACCCGCUGAACUUAA
rnacentral:misc_RNA from 1 species